GACAGAGGGGGCAAGCGUUGCUCGGAAUUACUGGGCGUAAGGGCGCGUAGGCGGGAUGGCAAGUCGGUCGUGAAAUCCCUCGGCUCAACCGAGGAACGUCGAUCGAUACUGCUGUUCUUGAGGAUUGCAGAGGAGACUGGAAUUCCCGGUGUAGCGGUGAAAUGUGUAGAGAUCGGGAGGAAUACCGGUGGCGAAGGCGGGUCUCUGGGCAAUUCCUGACGCUGAGGCGCGAAAGCGUGGGGAGCAAACGGG
rnacentral:rRNA from 1 species